rnacentral:rRNA from 1 species
GAUGAACGCUGGCGGCGUGCCUAAUACAUGCAAGUCGAGCGAACGGACGAGGAGCUUGCUCCUCUGACGUUAGCGGCGGACGGGUGAGUAACACGUGGAUAACCUACCUAUAAGACUGGGAUAACUUCGGGAAACCGGAGCUAAUACCGGAUAAUAUAUUGAACCGCAUGGUUCAAUAGUGAAAGACGGUUUUGCUGUCACUUAUAGAUGGAUCCGCGCCGCAUUAGCUAGUUGGUAAGGUAACGGCUUACCAAGGCAACGAUGCGUAGCCGACCUGAGAGGGUGAUCGGCCACACUGGAACUGAGACACGGUCCAGGCUCCUACGGGAGGCAGCAGUAGGGAAUCUUCCGCAAUGGGCGAAAGCUUGACGGAGCAACGCCGCGUGAGUGAUGAAGGUCUUCGGAUCGUAAAACUCUGUUAUUAGGGAAGAACAAAUGUGUAAGUAACUAUGCACGUCUUGACGGUACCUAAUCAGAAAGCCACGGCUAACUACGUG